GACGAACGCUGGCGGCGUGCCUAAUACAUGCAAGUUGAGCGAUGAAGAUUGGUGCUUGCACCAAUUUGAAGAGCAGCGAACGGGUGAGUAACGCGUGGGGAAUCUGCCUUUGAGCGGGGGACAACAUUUGGAAACGAAUGCUAAUACCGCAUAACAACUUUAAACAUAAGUUUUAAGUUUGAAAGAUGCAAUUGCAUCACUCAAAGAUGAUCCCGCGUUGUAUUAGCUAGUUGGUGAGGUAAAGGCUCACCAAGGCGAUGAUACAUAGCCGACCUGAGAGGGUGAUCGGCCACAUUGGGACUGAGACAAGGCCCAAACUCCUACGGGAGGCAGCAGUAGGGAAUCUUCGGCAAUGGACGAAAGUCUGACCGAGCAACGCCGCGUGAGUGAAGAAGGUUUUCGGAUCGUAAAACUCUGUUGGUAGAGAAGAACGUUGGUGAGAGUGGAAAGCUCAUCAAGUGACGGUAACUACCCAGAAAGGGACGGCUAACUACGUG
rnacentral:rRNA from 1 species